rnacentral:rRNA from 1 species
AGGUGAUCCAACCGCAGGUUCCCCUACGGUUACCUUGUUACGACUUCACCCCAGUCAUGAAUCACAAAGUGGUAAGCGCCCUCCCGAAGGUUAAGCUACCUACUUCUUUUGCAACCCACUCCCAUGGUGUGACGGGCGGUGUGUACAAGGCCCGGGAACGUAUUCACCGUGGCAUUCUGAUCCACGAUUACUAGCGAUUCCGACUUCAUGGAGUCGAGUUGCAGACUCCAAUCCGGACUACGACGCACUUUAUGAGGUCCGCUUGCUCUCGCGAGGUCGCUUCUCUUUGUAUGCGCCAUUGUAGCACGUGUGUAGCCCUGGUCGUAAGGGCCAUGAUGACUUGACGUCAUCCCCACCUUCCUCCAGUUUAUCACUGGCAGUCUCCUUUGAGUUCCCGGCCUCGACCGCUGGCAACAAAGGAUAAGGGUUGCGCUCGUUGCGGGACUUAACCCAACAUUUCACAACACGAGCUGACGACAGCCAUGCAGCACCUGUCUCACGGUUCCCGAAGGCACAUUCUCAUCUCUGAAAACUUCCGUGGAUGUCAAGACCAGGUAAGGUUCUUCGCGUUGCAUCGAAUUAAACCACAUGCUCCACCGCUUGUGCGGGCCCCCGUCAAUUCAUUUGAGUUUUAACCUUGCGGCCGUACUCCCCAGGCGGUCGACUUAACGCGUUAGCUCCGGAAGCCACGCCUCAAGGGCACAACCUCCAAGUCGACAUCGUUUACGGCGUGGACUACCAGGGUAUCUAAUCCUGUUUGCUCCCCACGCUUUCGCACCUGAGCGUCAGUCUUCGUCCAGGGGGCCGCCUUCGCCACCGGUAUUCCUCCAGAUCUCUACGCAUUUCACCGCUACACCUGGAGUUCUACCCCCCUCUACGAGACUCAAGCUUGCCAGUAUCAGAUGCAGUUCCCAGGUUGAGCCCGGGGAUUUCACAUCUGACUUAACAAACCGCCUGCGUGCGCUUUACGCCCAGUAAUUCCGAUUAACGCUUGCACCCUCCGUAUUACCGCGGCUGCUGGCACGGAGUUAGCCGGUGCUUCUUCUGCGGGUAACGUCAAUGAGCAAAGGUAUUAACUUUACUCCCUUCCUCCCCGCUGAAAGUACUUUACAACCCGAAGGCCUUCUUCAUACACGCGGCAUGGCUGCAUCAGGCUUGCGCCCAUUGUGCAAUAUUCCCCACUGCUGCCUCCCGUAGGAGUCUGGACCGUGUCUCAGUUCCAGUGUGGCUGGUCAUCCUCUCAGACCAGCUAGGGAUCGUCGCCUUGGUGAGCCGUUACCCCACCAACAAGCUAAUCCCAUCUGGGCACAUCCGAUGGCAAGAGGCCCGAGGGUCCCCCUCUUUGGUCUUGCGACGUUAUGCGGUAUUAGCUACCGUUUCCAGUAGUUAUCCCCCUCCAUCAGGCAGUUUCCCAGACAUUACUCACCCGUCCGCCACUCGUCAGCGAAACAGCAAGCUGUUUCCUGUUACCGUUCGACUUGCAUGUGUUAGGCCUGCCGCCAGCGUUCAAUCUGAGCCAUGAUCAAACUCU